rnacentral:lncRNA from 1 species
CGGAAGCCGCGCUCUCAUGGAAGCAGCGGGUCCCCAGCUGCCUCCCCGGGAGCCUGGACUCAGCCCUGUUCGCCCACCGGUACUUUUGCUCGUCCCACACCGGCUAAAUCUCAUGGUGUGACACAGCCAGACACCUGUGCCCACCACGGGGCCGUGCACCUGAGGACGGCAUGCCUGCCCCAGCUGUGUCUGUCGCGGUGGGCGGAUCCGGCCUCUGUCCCCCAAGUCAUGGUGCGGACCUUCCUGGAGACAGAGUCCUCCAGAGUGCGAGACCGGGAGGUGAUAUGCUGGGGUGGCCGCGGGACGGUCACCGAGCAGACUCCCCUUGAGUGCGGACCUGGGCCUUGGUGAGUGCAGUGUUGACUCCGGAGGGCGGGGCGGGC